UACGAAGGGGACUAGCGUUGUUCGGAAUCACUGGGCGUAAAGCGCACGUAGGCGGAUGUGUCAGUCAGGGGUGAAAUCCCGGGGCUCAACCUCGGAACUGCCUUUGAUACAGCACGUCUCGAGUCCGGAAGAGGUGGGUGGAAUUCCUAGUGUAGAGGUGAAAUUUGUAGAUAUUAGGAAGAACACCGGUGGCGAAGGCGGCCCACUGGUCCGGUACUGACGCUGAGGUGCGAAAGCGUGGGGAGCAAACAGG
rnacentral:rRNA from 1 species